CAAAAUCCAAACAAAUGUUGGAAGAUAUUUUUAAGUCUCCACAUCUUUCUUACUUUUCUAUAUGAAAAUAAAAUUGGACUACACCAAUACACCAACAAAGGUUAUGUGUUUUGCACCAGAUUGAAAGCAUCAUAGCGAAAAACGGACCUGUCAUUUCUUUAAAUUUCUAAAAGAGCCUCACUACUUUUCCACAUGCAAAGAGGUUAACCAAGGAGAAAUUAAAGAAAUUGUCAGAAACCUAGGUAAAUACAGAAUUGCUUAGUACAAACCUAUCUAUACCCAGUACAAGUUUGUCCACUUCUUUGAAGCAUGGUACUUCAAACAGAGAAACUGUCAACGAUUUGGUAGAAGGUGAGCCCAUGUCAAAUUCCAGUAAGA